rnacentral:rRNA from 1 species
GACAGGAGGUGACGUACGUUGUCGAAUUACUGGGCGUAAAGCGCGUGUAGGCGGCAGCGCAAGUCGGGCGUGAAAUCCCACGGCUCAACCGUGGAAGUGCACUCGAAACUGCGCAGCUAGAGUCCUGGAGAGGGAUGUGGAAUUCCAGGUGUAGCGGUGAAAUGCGUAGAUAUCUGGAGGAACACCGGUGGCGAAGGCGGCGAUCCUGGACCGGUAUUGACGCUGAUGCGCGAAAGCCAGGGGAGCAAAGCGGG